rnacentral:rRNA from 1 species
GCCCGGUGACUCACGUUCAACGGCCGCGGUAUCCUAACCGUGCAAAGGUAGCGCAAUCAAUUGUCCCAUAAAUCGAGACUAGUAUGAAUGGCUAAACGAGGUCUUAACUGUCUCUUACAGGCAAUCGGUGAAAUUGAUCUCCCUGUACAAAAGCAGGGAUAAACCCAUAAGACGAGAAGACCCUGUGGAACUUUAAAACCAGCAACCACCUUAAAACACAUACUCACCCACCGGGUUUACUGACACAUAAGACUCUGGUUCGCGUUUUUCGGUUGGGGCGACCUUGGAGCAAAACAAAACCUCCAAAAAUUAGACCACACCUCUAGACUGAGAGCAACUUCUCAACGUGCUAAUAGCACCCAGACCCAAUACAAUUGAUCAAUGGACCAAGCUACCCCAGGGAUAACAGCGCAAUCUCCCCCGAGAGUCCGUAUCGACGGGGAGGUUUACGACCU